GCGACCUCAAUUUAAGCAAGAAUACCCGCUGAACUUAUGCAUAUCAGUAAGCGGAGGAAAAGAAACUAACUAGGAUUU
rnacentral:rRNA from 1 species